UACGGAAGGGGCGAGCGUUGUUCGGAAUCAUUGGGCGUAAAGGGCGCGUAGGUGGUCCUGUAUGUCUACCGUGAAAGCGUACGGCUCAACCGUAUUUUGUCGGUAGAAACUGCAGGACUUGAGGCUGGGAGGGGCUGGUGGAAUUCCCUGUGUAGCGGUGAAAUGCGUAGAGAUGGGGGGAGAACACUCGUGGCGAAGGCGGCCAGCUAGACCAGUUCUGACACUGAGGCGCGACAGCGUGGGGGAGCAAACAGG
rnacentral:rRNA from 1 species